rnacentral:tRNA from 1 species
GGUAAGGUGACUGAGAAAUAAGUGGCGGAUUGUAAUCCCGUGAACGGAGGUUAAAAUCCUCCCCCUACCA